rnacentral:rRNA from 1 species
AUUGAACGCUGGCGGCAUGCUUUACACAUGCAAGUCGAACGGUAACAGGCCGCAAGGUGCUGACGAGUGGCGAACGGGUGAGUAAUGCAUCGGAACGUGCCCAGUCGUGGGGGAUAACUACUCGAAAGAGUAGCUAAUACCGCAUACGAUCUAUGGAUGAAAGCGGGGGACCGUAAGGCCUCGCGCGAUUGGAGCGGCCGAUGUCAGAUUAGGUAGUUGGUGGGGUAAAGGCUCACCAAGCCAACGAUCUGUAGCUGGUCUGAGAGGACAACCAGCCACACUGGGACUGAGACACGGCCCAGACUCCUACGGGGGGCAGCAGUGGGGAAUUUUGGACAAUGGGCGCAAACCUGGUCCAGCAAUGCCGCGUGCAGGAAGAAGGCCUUCGGGUUGUAAACUGCUUUUGUACGGAACGAAACGGCUCUGGUUAAUACCCGGGGCUAAUGACGGUACCGUAAGAAUAAGCACCGGCUAACUACGUG